rnacentral:lncRNA from 1 species
UCACUGCUCCUCAAGUGUAUAGCUAGAAAAUAAAUUGUGUAUUAUCCUGUAUACAGAAUUUUAAACUAUAUAGACCAAUGUGAUGUUGUGAACUACUCCCCGUGAUAACUGAGAAUAGAAAAUGGAAAACUAUGGUGCAAACGAAGGAAGUGCAAAUAAUCAAUGAUUCAUUUGUCGAACUCCCAAAUGACUCCUCCAUCCUCUGCAAUUACAAGGUCAAAUAACUUAAAAGACAAACCAACAAAAACAGAGUAAAAAAUAAAAAUGUAUAAAUUGAAAAUUAAAAUCAAACAAAUGCUAUGGCACAUUGAAGAGUAGUGGGAUGUUUGGAAAGCUGAAUAUGUUUUCCUUGACAGUUGACACUGAGCCUUCACAAACAAAUAUACCCAUAAUGUAUGAGGGAAAGUCUUUGAAGCUUGAAUAGUGUAGCUCUUGAGAAGCUUGAACAGUGAUGUUAUUACAUUAGAAAAGCUUGAACAAACUUAAUACCACAUUACCAAACACAUAAAAUAGUAAACUACAACGGAUCAACCAAACAUAAAACACCUGCCAAACAACAAACUUAAUACCAUAUUACCGAGGAGAGGAGUGUCGUCGCCGCUCGCCGAGGUGGUGAAGUCGUCGUCGCCCUAUGCUAUUGUAGUCAUGAAUCAGCAGCAGCCAAGCAAUGUUGUAUUUUUUUUUUAUAGAGAAAUCUAGGGUUAGAAAAAUAGAAAAGGGAAUAAGGGUAAGCAGAUACUGCCCGUAAGUGAUAAGUCUACUUGAGCGC